GAAAGGUCCAUUCGUGGACGUGACUUCCUUGCGGUGAACAUGCAUGAAUGGAGUUAUGUGGUAAAGGACACCAGGAGAAAUGAGGACAGCGUUAUUAUAAAGUCCAACUAAGCAGUCGCAUAAGAUGCAGAACGAAUGGCACACGACUCUCUCUAUAGAGGCAGAUGGGACUGGAAAUUUAGGCCACAUUUCACCCGAGAACGCGACAAAACAUAAUGGUGACCAAGUUUGUUGACCUCAAAAGAGGUACAGACCUGAUAACCUAGAUCCUCCAAAGCCUCGUCUUUGCUGGCUACCUUUACUACUCUGGGAAAGUCAAACUGGGAUUUUGAGUAAGUGGCUACAUCAGAAAAGAUUCGUACAUAAUAGGUACCUAACCAGAACUUUGGAAAUUAGUUUAGUAAUAAAUACUAGUCAAGCGA